rnacentral:rRNA from 1 species
CCUAGGGGGGGCUGCAGUGGGGAAUAUUGGACAAUGGGCGAAAGCCUGAUCCAGCCAUGCCGCGUGUGUGAAGAAGGCCUUCGGGUUGUAAAGCACUUUCAGUGGGGAAGAAAGCCUUGGGGCUAAUACCCUCGAGGAAGGACAUCACCCACAGAAGAAGCACCGGCUAACUCCGUGCCAGCAGCCGCGGUAAUACGGAGGGUGCGAGCGUUAAUCGGAAUUACUGGGCGUAAAGCGCGCGUAGGCGGUCUGAUAAGCCGGUUGUGAAAGCCCCGGGCUCAACCUGGGAACGGCAUCCGGAACUGUCAGGCUAGAGUGCAGGAGAGGAAGGUAGAAUUCCCGGUGUAGCGGUGAAAUGCGUAGAGAUCGGGAGGAAUACCAGUGGCGAAGGCGGCCUUCUGGACUGACACUGACGCUGAGGUGCGAAAGCGUGGGUAGCAAACAGGAUUAGAUACCCUGGUAGUC